CGAAGGAUACACUGAAGAACGGACAGAAAGAACCACAUGCCAAAUAAUCCACCUCCCACAAUAUGUAGCAUUUUAAAGGAAUCGCUUGUCGGUAUUGUAGCCAAUUUAACGGUGUAAACAAACACCCUAAAUCAAGUAGCCUUUUUUUCAAAUCUCAGACUAUUGACCUAAUAAACUGAGUGGAGCCAAUUUUCAACAUAAAGUUUAUGUGUUUUGCUCGGUUGGUUAGACGUAAAACGUCAGACAAGGCUUUCUUUCAUUACGCAAACCGGCGAGCGAGGGAGGAAGCACGGAGCGGUGAUUGCACAAGGCAAUUGAGCGCGUCCCAGAAGGCAGAGCGCAGAGCAGCAUUGGCGUUGCGCUGUUCACCUGAGGUGGUCGCACUGAAGGCGCUGAGUAGCCCGGGACGUUCCUUGUUUUUAGUCUCCUUAAGUAAUGUGCAAUUACAGCGUCAGAUUAACAUCUGUGAGAUUGUAAAUAAACAGAGCAAAAAUCAUCAAUUAUUUUAUCCGAUAGUUCGAGCUCGCGCCCCACUCAGGGUUCGGGGAUGGAUUCCCCCUUGAGCGACUGAUCUCGGAGCUUUGAGAUCGGGCGUACACCUGUUGGACCGUCCUUAUUGCUUGGCCGCGGUUUCAUGCCGAGGCUAAUUAUCAUGAACAAUUCCUACCGGUCGGUUGUUCCGGGUACCCCGCUGGACCUGCGCACCAGGAGCCGAGACGAGAUGAGUAGAGGCAGUCGCCCGCCGAUGUCGGACUGCGACCGUAGAACAACUGGAGGCGACCGGGUCCGAGCUGAGACGGACACGUCGGGAUCCGCGGGACGUAGUCUUCCACGCCGCAGGGGAGUGGAGCAACACCGGGCGGACGCGUUAACGAUUUCGACCGCGCAACUGGACACAGGAUUGGCUCAUUUAUUGUCGACCCCACGAACCCCCACGAACUCCGAGUCCAGGACCUCGUUAUCCACGGACUCCAGCCACGUCAAGAGGGCGUUUGACAGGCGCACGCCGGAUCAGAUCCCGUCCAGGCUGCCUUUGAGGAAACGUCCGUUUCCCAUUGAAGCAGAGACUUUGGCACAAUCCACUGUUCUACCAGACACGAGAGACCAAUUCCUCACAGAAAACACGGACACAACGCCGAGGCAGAGUCCUGCAGAAUCCUUGAGAGUAUUCGAGAGUAGAGUGAGGAGGGCGAGCAGUGAAGCAGCGCCAGCAGCAGCAGCUGCAGCACCAAAGUACAGAAGAUUGGAGCCGCCGGCUGCACCGUUUCCAGAUGUGUUUUACGGGGGCCAUGCACACACAUACUAUGGUCCCACUUUCCCAAGGAACUCUGACAGCUUCCUCUUUCCAAUGCUACCCCUACCCCUUCCUCUGGUCUCCAACGUUGCCAUGGCGAUGCACCAGGACGAGGAUGGAGACACGCCUCUCCACAUAGCGGUGGCGCAGGGGGAAGAGGCUGUUGUCCACAAGCUUAUCUUCAUCAUGAAGGCCGCUCGCAAACACCUUAACAUCUAUAACCACCUCAGACAGACGCCCCUUCACCUGGCCGUGAUCACCCAGCAUGAGGGUCUGGUCGAGGGCCUGCUGAGGGCCGGAGCCGACCCCGCCUCCCUGGACCGCCACGGCCGGACAGCGCUGCACCUCUGCUGUGAAUACGGCCGGGCGGACUGCCUCUCCGCCGUACUCUCCCAGCCGUCCUCCUUGUCCUGCGUGGACGCCACGACCUUUGAAGGACUGAGCCCUCUCCACAUCGCUGUGCAGGGCGGCCAUCAGGACCUGCUCAGAAUGCUACUGGACGCUGGAGCCGACAUUAAUAUCAAGGACAUCAAAAGUGGUCAAAGUCCUCUCAUGUACGCGGUGGAGAGGAAUAAUGUGGACAUAGUCCAGUUCCUCAUAGAGAGUGGCAGCGACGUGAACGGCCAAUCCAACAGUGGGAACACGGCUCUGCACGGCGCCUGUGGGCGGGGUCAGGUGGACACCGUGUGGCUCCUGCUAAAGAAAGGCGCAGACCCUGGCAUCAAGAAUAACCACAACGACACUCCCGUCAUGGUGGCCAAGAACAAGAAGAUAGCAGAUGUGCUGAGAGGGAAGAGCUCCAAGCUGAGUAGAAGUCAAGAUCAACCCCUGGCAGUGCCACCCUCACACAGUAGCAGUUUACUAGCAAGUGGGUCAUUGUCCCCCCACCAAAGUCCUCCCUUCCACCUUUGACCAUAGUUCCAAUAGUCAUCAAAGGAGACGAGAAACAAGGAAUCUAUUUUCUGUUUUGCUGGAUUUUUUUUAAUCAGUUAUGGGUGCAAUAUCACUGUGUGUGCUGUGCAGAACGUUUCAGAGUCAUGAGAGACUUCAUGAGAGACUUGAGAUUCUGCAACGUUACCGCUUGCAGAUUCAACUCUUGACCUGACUUCUGAAAUAAUUGUUUUCUAUGUCCUAUUAAAUAGUUGGCCAGAUAUAUUCCUUCGAGUCUUUCCAAAUGUUCUGUUUAAUUUGUAUCGCAAACCUUUUUAUUUUAUAUUGUAAGCAUCUAUUAAUAUAAUAAAGUAUUUUUUUUACAAAACCUUUAUAUUUGUCCACAAGUUUGUUUUUGUUUAGUUUUGUAGCACACGUUGAAAGGUUUAAACGCAGGGCUCUGAUUGGCUGGUACGCGGGCCGGGCAGAAGGCUUCCAGCCCAAAAUACGAGCGCGCGGCCAUGUUGAAUUGUCGGUUUUCUGAAAGAAGAGACAAAAGACAAGUGACAACACGGUGAUUUCCUCGAAUAAAUGAAAUGUAAUAACAGAAAAGCAACCACGAAAAUAUCACAAGUAAUGGAAAAACGCGAUGGAUUUGAAUGGAUGUAACUAUUUGAAGGUAACCUGGAGUUUGCAGUAGAUUACAUCCAGUUUUCUAAGAACUUCGGCCUGCCGUCUCUUCAUCUGGUGCAGAAGUCGAAGAUCGUCGAUCCAGCGGGACAAGUUUGAAGGCAUUUUGCGCUCAUUGUUUUUCGGGCUUGAAAUUGUCCAUGUAACAAAGCUCAAGAACAAUAUUUCUACUACUGGUCCAAUUGAAUGUAAAUCACAAGAGCACUUGGACUUUUAAAGCCAAGAACAACAACAAAAAACAAUCACAAGGAAAACAAGACGGAAGAUAUGAGAUUAUAGAAAAAAAUAUUACUUGGUAAAAACUUUUGACAGAUAUAUGAUCUAUUUAUUCAUAUGAAUUCUACUUUCUCCCUUUUUUGGAGAGUUGUCUUGUAUAUAGACAAUAUUCAUUCGUUUGGCUCUUCUUUUCAAGAGAUCCGAACGUGGACACAGUACAUUCUUUAAAAAGAAAAAACGACUUCAGUUUCCUUCAUAUUUUAGAAAUAUUUUUACAAAAAAAUUACAACCAAGAUAAGAAAGAAAAAUAGCUUUACACUGUGAAAAUUGGUUUUGAAAUAGCGUAACAA